CACGUAGGCACCAAGCGUUGUCCGGAUUUAUUGGGCGUAAAGAGCUCGUAGGCGGUUCAGUAAGUCGGGUGUGAAAACUUUGGGCUUAACCCAAAGCGUGCAUCCGAUACUGCUGUGACUUGAGUUCGGUAGGGGAGUGGGGAAUUCCUAGUGUAGCGGUGAAAUGCGCAGAUAUUAGGAGGAACACCGGUGGCGAAGGCGCCACUCUGGGCCGAAACUGACGCUGAGGAGCGAAAGCAUGGGUAGCAAGCAGG
rnacentral:rRNA from 1 species